GGACAGCGCGGUUCCCGCCACGCCGGCUCCGCCUCCGCGCCGGGCUGCCGGCCGCGGCCCGGGCGCGGAGCCGGUCCCGAGCGCAACUCGUGCCGGCGGGGCGGGCGGGGGCACAGGGGACGCGAGCCCGCCCGCCAGUCGCCGCUCCGGACGGGAAUCCCCGCCGCGGCGGGAACGGGGCCGCGGCCGGAAAAGUUGGGGCGGACCGCUUGCCCGCGUGGGCCGGGCGGGAAGUGCGGUUGCGGAGCGGACCCCGGGGGGCGCAGGGACGCGCUUUUGCCUUCCCACCCCAACGCCCAGUGCACACAGUGAAUAUUCCAGGCCCUGCCAUCUUCUGAAAGGGAGAACAAAACCAGAAGCCAGAGAGGACAGUCUUUGAAAGAAGGUUGAAGAUGGAUGAGAUACCAGUUUGUCUUUCCAUCCUCCGAUCUUGAGUGGCCAAGCAUAUGGGCUGGGAUGCGGAAGACGCACUGGUGGGGGAAGGAGCUCACUUUCUCAUGGCAGGUGCAGUGCCUGUCCUGGCCGCACUAACACACUGUGCACUGUGCAAGACCCUGGGUGCAAUCUUGAGGUAAAGAAGGUGCGGUCUUACUCUCAAAGAAGCCACCGUCUCAUGGGGAAGAUAUAUAUACUCAGGACACAAUUAUGAGGGCGAGCAUAGGUAGCUUGACGAGUAACUGUCACGAGAGGUAUAGCCUUUAGUCUAAAUGAAUGAAAAUGUAUUGUUUGGGGCUGAUCAGAGGUGACUAGGUUUCCCGUCUAGCCAUCCCCACAAUAGUUUUUUGAGUCAUUGCUGUGUCCUUGCAUGUUUCAUCUGAUAAGAAAGCCAGGGGUCUGUGCUGGGUCUGCCAAAGUCAUGGCCCUGUCUCACUGUCCACUUGUUUCUGGCUUUGAGAACGGUCCUCGAAGACUAAGUAGGUCACGGAUAUCUAUUUUGAACCGAGCGUGGCUGGGCUGCAUGGCCAUUUAAUUUCCGGAUCAAAUCCUGUUGGACUUGUUUGUCCAGGAGGCUGGCAGCAAGCACUCUCUGGUUGGUUGUGCGGUGUAUUUAUAAAGUGUGAAGAGUCUGGAGGUAACGAGACACUCCACUUAUCUAUUCCUGCAGGAGAGCGGUCGGUCCGUGGAGAAGUUUCAGAAACCUUCAGGAAGCCGGGGGCGUAUCUUCGUUCCGCCCUGCUUCUUUGAAUUUUCCAAAAAUUGUUGAUCUUCACGAACUUCAUGGAACCCUUUUCUUUUAAGAAAUCCCAUUUAAUUUUUACUCCGUGUUAGUU
rnacentral:lncRNA from 1 species